GAUGAACGCUGGCGGCGUGCAUAACACAUUCAAGUCGAACGGUGAAGUCCCUUCGGGGACGGAUCAGUGGCGGACGGGUGAGUAACGCGUGAGCAACCUGCCUCAUACUCAGGGAUAACACAGGGAAACUUGUGCUAAUACCGGAUAACAUAUUAGGACUGCAUGGUUCUGAUAUCAAAGCUCCGGCGGUGUGAGAUGGGCUCGCGUAUGAUUAGAUAGUUGGCAGGGUAACGGCCUACCAAGUCUGCGAUCAUUAGCCGAACUGAGAGGUUGAACGGCCACAUUGGAACUGAGAAACGGUCCAGACUCCUACGGGAGGCAGCAGUGGGGAAUAUUGGGCAAUGGGCGAAAGCCUGACCCAGCGACGCCGCGUGCGGGAAGACGGUCUUCGGAUUGUAAACCGCUUUCAGCAGGGAAGAAGCAAGUGUCGGUACCUGCAGAAGAAGUCACGGCUAACUACGUGCCAGCCGCCGCGGUAAUAC
rnacentral:rRNA from 1 species